rnacentral:rRNA from 1 species
GACGAACGCUGGCGGCGUGCUUAACACGUGCAAGUCGAACGGAAAGGCCCUGCUUUUGUGGGGUGCUCGAGUGGCGAACGGGUGAGUAACACGUGAGUAACCUGCCCUUGACUUUGGGAUAACUUCAGGAAACUGGGGCUAAUACCGGAUAGGAGCUCCUGCUGCAUGGUGGGGGUUGGAAAGUUUCGGCGGUUGGGGAUGGACUCGCGGCUUAUCAGCUUGUUGGUGGGGUAGUGGCUUACCAAGGCUUUGACGGGUAGCCGGCCUGAGAGGGUGACCGGCCACAUUGGGCCUGAGAUACGGCCCAGACUCCUACGGGAGGCAGCAGUGGGGAAUAUUGCACAAUGGGCGGAAGCCUGAUGCAGCAACGCCGCGUGCGGGAUGACGGCCUUCGGGUUGUAAACCGCUUUCGCCUGUGACGAAGCGUGAGUGACGGUAAUGGGUAAAGAAGCACCGGCUAACUACGUG